CCUGUUGAGGACAGAUAAAAUGAAUAUGUGAAUCGACGCCACCUGCGGUAAGUAUCUGCCCUUCGCCUGCUAUCACUUCCGUCCCCGGACCGAUAACGAUAUCAACGCCGGCCUGGGUAUCUGGGUUUCCUGCCUUACCAAUCGCGUGAAUACGCCCAUCCUUAAUACCAACGUCUGCUUUAAUAAUUCCCCAAUAAUCGAUAAUGGUCGCAUUUGUGAUUAGUACAUCCGCUGUAUCAGCUGAAACCGAUUGGCCCUGACCCAUUCCGUCCC
rnacentral:sRNA from 1 species